UGACGUCAAGUCCUCAUGGCCUUUAUGCCCAGGGCUACACACGUGCUACAAUGGGUGGUACAAAGAGAGGCAAGCUCGCGAGAGUAAGCAAAUCUCAAAAAGCCAUCCUCAGUUCGGAUUGGAGUCUGCAACUCGACUCCAUGAAGUCGGAAUCGCUAGUAAUCGCGGAUCAGCACGCCCGCGGUCGAAUACGUUCCGGGCCUU
rnacentral:rRNA from 1 species